UCCUUCUUCUUCCUCUUCUCUUUCUUCGCCUUCUUCGUCUUCGACAA
rnacentral:sRNA from 1 species